UAACCGGAUAGCUCGACGGAGCAACAAGCGGGAUUCGUCCCCCGUUUCCGGUUAUUCCUAUCAGGGCG
rnacentral:ncRNA from 12 species